rnacentral:rRNA from 1 species
UACGUAGGGGGCAAGCGUUGUCCGGAUUUAUUGGGCGUAAAGAGCGUGUAGGCGGCUUUACAGGUCCGUUGUGAAAACUCGAGGCUCAACCUCGAGACGCCGGUGGAAACCGUAAGGCUAGAGUCCGGAAGAGGAGAGUGGAAUUCCUGGUGUAGCGGUGAAAUGCGCAGAUAUCAGGAGGAACACCUGCGGUGUAGACGGCUUUCUGGACCAUUGCUGACGCUGAGACACGAAAGCGUGGGUAGCAAACAGG